rnacentral:tRNA from 1 species
AGGUGUCUGUGACAAAGGUCGGGGCCGAGCAGAACGCUUCUACAGACUGCGCCCGGAGAAACCGCAGUAUUGCAGCGUUGGACGGGGGUUCGAUUCCCCCCAUCUCCACCA